rnacentral:tRNA from 1 species
GGGGUUGUGGCUCAGUGGUAGUGCCUCUGCUUGGCAUGCAGAAGGCCCUAGGUAUAAUUCCCAGCAUCUCUU